rnacentral:rRNA from 1 species
GUCGAGUUGUUUGGGAAUGCAGCUCAAAAUGGGUGGUAAAUGCCAUCUAAGGCUAAAUAUUGGGGAGAGACCGAUAGCGAACAAGUACAGUGAUGGAAAGAUGAAAAGAACUUUGAAAAGAGAGUUAAACAGUACGUGAAAUUGCCAAAAGGGAAGGGUAGGAGGUCAGAGAUGCGGCCUGGGAUUCAGCCUUGCUUUUGCUUGGUGUUUUUCCCAGAUUGCAGGCCAACGUCGGUUUUGGGCACUGGAGAAGGGUAGGAGGAACGUGGCACCUCUCGGGGUGUGUUAUAGCCUCCUACUGGAUACAGCGAC